UAGAGUUUGAUCCUGGCUCAGGAUGAACGCUAGCUACAGGCUUAACACAUGCAAGUCGAGGGGCAGCGGGAUUGAAGCUUGCUUCAAUUGCCGGCGACCGGCGCACGGGUGAGUAACGCGUAUCCAACCUUCCGUACACUCAGGGAUAGCCUUUCGAAAGAAAGAUUAAUACCUGAUGGUAUGAUGAGAUUGCAUGAUAGCAUCAUUAAAGAUUUAUCGGUGUACGAUGGGGAUGCGUUCCAUUAGGUAGUAGGCGGGGUAACGGCCCACCUAGCCAACGAUGGAUAGGGGUUCUGAGAGGAAGGUCCCCCACAUUGGAACUGAGACACGGUCCAAACUCCUACGGGAGGCAGCAGUGAGGAAUAUUGGUCAAUGGACGAGAGUCUGAACCAGCCAAGUAGCGUGAAGGAUGAAGGUCCUACGGAUUGUAAACUUCUUUUAUAAGGGAAUAAAGUGAGUCUCGUGAGAUUUUUUGCAUGUACCUUAUGAAUAAGGACCGGCUAAUUCCGUGCCAGCAGCCGCGGUAAUACGGAAGGUCCGGGCGUUAUCCGGAUUUAUUGGGUUUAAAGGGAGCGUAGGCCGGAGAUUAAGCGUGUUGUGAAAUGUAGAUGCUCAACAUCUGCACUGCAGCGCGAACUGGUUUCCUUGAGUACGCACAAAGUGGGCGGAAUUCGUGGUGUAGCGGUGAAAUGCUUAGAUAUCACGAAGAACUCCGAUUGCGAAGGCAGCUCACUGGAGCGCAACUGACGCUGAAGCUCGAAAGUGCGGGUAUCGAACAGGAUUAGAUACCCUGGUAGUCCGCCACGGUAAACGAUGGAUGCCCGCUGUUGGUCUGAAUAGGUCAGCGGCCAAGCGAAAGCAUUAAGCAUCCCACCUGGGGAGUACGCCGGCAACGGUGAAACUCAAAGGAAUUGACGGAAGGGCUGAAUUCCAGCACACU
rnacentral:rRNA from 1 species